rfam:Lottia gigantea unplaced genomic scaffold LOTGIsca_5896, whole genome shotgun sequence.
GUGUUGUUAAUGCUCACAAUAAGGGAUACACACAGGUACUUGUUACUUUCAUCAUCCCCUGGGAAGGUCUGAGACAAAGGUCAAUCAAUUCUCUGGCAGGGAAUCCUGGUAACUCAGGAGUGGAGCACCAGAAAUAAGGUCAAUUAGGGUUCAAUUCUGGCAAGUGACACUAUACAGUGGAUGCUCAGGACUCAUAAUUGAUUGGAAAUCUCCAUGACCAGCAACAUUAAGUUCAAUUUGUGAGGUGAACUGGUUCAUAACUCAAUUCAGACUACUCUGACAACAC